AUUGCUGCAAUUAGCUGAAGAAAAAAUGCAACCAUUGUCAGACUUUGCAGUAAUACAGAGGACCAGCAUCUUUUUCACCUAGAAAGUCCUUUUCUAUGUUGUUUUUUAAAUACUCUGGAUUCUUGGAGGGCUGGAUCACGUGUUUGCUGUGGUUUCAAAAAACUUUUUACUGCGUUGUGCAUGGAAAAGUGUGGAACUAAAGGCUUGAAUUGCUUUAGGAUGAGCACACAACCUGCUUUCAUAAAACCUAUUCCUAAGAAGAAAUAAUGAAAUUAUUGUGGAUCCUGCUCAUUACAGGCUUAACUACAUCUCGAACACAUUACCACGAUAGCGAUGAAACUCAGCCUUGCCUUGUCUGGGAUCAAGAACUGUACGUAGCAGGGAUGCUGGGAUAGAUGAGCCCCACAGAAGAGGAAGCCGAGGGACCUUACCGUGGUGCUACUGCUGUGCAAAUCCCCUGCUGGGGCAAGGAACUCUGGGAAGCCACCUUGUCUCUGGGAAAAAAACACAUCCCAAACCUCAACAGGUCGCGCCACCAGCCCAGCAGGUUUGCCUGAGUUUCGGCCGGAGAACAGGCUCCAGGUCUCUCCUAACAGGAUGGAGGUUCCCCCCCGGUGUCGCUCUCCAGCACCUUCCAAGCCCACUCCGCGACACCCGGGUCCCGCAGCAUCCCAAGCUCCCCGGGAUAGCUUCACAAAGGAAAGAUUGCAAACUCCCCCUUCCCGCCACGCUUCCCCCAAGCCCCGUUUCCCAGGAGCAACAGGCGGGCCCGGCAGCCCCGUGUC